GCCACACUGGGUUCACCCUGUUCUGUGGCACCACCUGUGAGUCUUAGACCAGCCCAAAAACCCUGCCACUCCCAAAGAUCAGCCAUCCAAAUGUCAAGGGACCUGGAAAACUGGAGAUAGUUGAAGGAGGGAGGUAUCUUCAGCCAGAAACCAGCCCAAGAGCAAAGGAGCAAAACCACCUCAGGCACCCACAUCUGAGACAUCCCUGAUCCCAGGCCACUCAAAGUAACAGUGCCUGGCACAUGUUCCAUCCUUCAGGGGAAUACCUGUCCUUCAAGCUACAAGACUCCUAUUUUUAUGUGAGUUGUACCAGUGAUUCUUACUCAUACUUCAGCAUCACCACAAAGCACAAGCCAGGACUGUACAAUCCUUUGCCACACAGGCACCAUCUCUAGAACAUUGUGCCACCAAGCAAGCUCUGCUCCACCAGCCCUGUGAUCAACCCCUGGAGAGCUCAGCAGAUCUUUUCUCCCUGACAGCCUUAGCCAAAUCACUUCUCCAGGCUUGCCAUUCUUCAGAACACUGUCAGGCUUUGCUGCCACCAAGCCACUAUUUCCAGAACACAGUGAAGUGCUUAUCACUUAAACCUUAAACACUACUUGCCUAGUAAUGAAAAUUGAAUUGAUUGGAGAGUAAACUUCUGCUAAGUGACUGGCAGAAUUCCAGCUCCAGUCCAUAAUGAUCAAAAUUCACUAAAAUAGCAUUUUUAAAUGUCUUUUGUUUGAAAACCAUACUAUACCCAGGUGUGGGGAGAUCUAGACACAAGGUAGUUAUUUUAAGUGUUUCUAGAAUUGAGCCCAAAAAAAUGUUUCUGAAUUAACAAUUGCUAAUUUGGGGUUGAAUGAAAUCUGUGUUAAUCUUAAAAAUGUCUACAUUAUUAAAAAUCAUAUUUGUCCCUCCUUUAAUUCAACUGCUUGUGUUGUCAGGUACCUCAAUCCCAAUCCCUCUUAGAAAUGUUUGCCUCAAGAGAAAGAUACUCACUUCCUCCUAACCUGGUGCUCAGGAUGGAGACUCUUCCACUGUCACUUUGAGAGAAUUUACUAUUGAUUGCCAAAGCUACUGUGUAACCUGAGGAACUUCCCUCACCUUCUAAAAGAGCAUUCUGAAUUUUCAGGACUUCAGAGAAAGUACUGCAGCUGAUUCCCUGUAUAUCCUGCUUGUUUACUGUGGGUGCUGAUGGAGCUGAGUAGAGAUGUUCAAUGCAAUGUUACUUGUGGGACAUUGGAAUACAUUGGAUAAUGAAAAGGAAAUAAAUACAAACUGAAUUCUUUGCA
ensembl:lncRNA